UGAGGGGACCGAGGGGGCGGCUGGACUGGAAUAAAAGCCGGGGAGUGUGAUGGAGAGCGGACAGGCUGCUGCUGCGCUCUGCACUGGUGGCCAGAUGUGAGAAGUUGGUGUGAAGUUGGAGUGAGUGUGAUGCCUCCUGUGUGAGCUGCCAUGUCGCUGUGGGUGAUGGAGGUGGAAGACUGCAGACUGCGUGUCUUCCAGCUGUCGCUCCUCCUGCUCUGCUUCUCGGCUCUCCGCAGCUCAGCCAUUGACACCGUGAAUGUCGUGGACUUUUGUGGCCAGACGAUCCGUGAUGAUGGUAUGAUUGUCAACUCCCACCAGGAAUCCAAGAAGUACUACUUUGUGACUAUGGGUACCGACUGUCACCUCACCAUGCAGGCCAGCUCUCUGAAGGACAAGGUCCAGUUCCAUUUUCGCUUCUUCCUGGUCUACAGCUUGCUUAGAGUGGCCCCUCUGAGUCCUGCCCCUCUCUUCCCAGAGUCCCCUCGUGGCUCCGCCCCUCUUAACCCCAGACUUGAACCUACCUCUGGUGAGACACUGGGAGACCCAUGUCAUGCUGGCUCAUACGUUCAGUUUUAUGAUGGUCGGGACAAGAGCUCACCUCCCCUCGGACCUCCUCUUUGUGGGAAGAGCCCUCCCCGGCCAGUGCUGUCCACAGGAAACUACCUGACCCUACGGCUGGUGACCAGGGGCACUCAGCCCAGGGUGGACUUUGUGGGGGAUUUCACUUCCUUCAGACUGGGUUUUAACCAAUCAGAGUGCAGCAGUGAGCCCUACUUCACCUGCAGGAAUGGGAAAUGCAUCCCUCUAAGUCUGGUCUGCGACGACAAAGGCAUUGACAACUGUGGCGAUGGAAGCGACCUGGAGGAAAACCUCACCACAGGAUGUAAAGCAGGUCAGCUUUUACCUACUGAACCUCCGCCACCGAUGGCAACCCCACCCCACCCUUUGUGAAUCCACCCGCAAUGCCAAGUCCAACUCAUAAGAAAUGUCCCGUGCCAGACAGCGCUCCUAGUCACGAAUCAGUAACGGACUCUCCCACCUCCUUGUCCCUGUUAAUUCUCUACAUCAUCCUGGGCAUCGUGGCGGGAGGCACAGUGCUCUGUUGGUGCUGCUGGACACCUGGAUGGUUUCUAUGGCGCAUCAGCAUCUGCCGCUUCUUACCCUGCUGCAACUCGGUCUGUGCUUCCUGCCAGUUCUGCACUCACAACUGCACCCACAAUCAAGAGCACCGACUGGCAAAAGUCACCCCACACACACCGGUCAAUGGGACACCAAGGGGCACAGCUGCUACCACCAACAGUGCUGAGGAAAAUGUUGCCACAGCAGCUGUGUAGAGCUGAGGGACUGUCCACCUGAUCAGCGCUGGCAUACAGAGAUGUGGAGACAAUAUGCUAAUGCUGAGCUGCAACCAGUGACCAAGAAUCUUUCUAAUCAAGGUUGGAUUGAUGUGGUCUACAAUGGGAUGUUGUAGACCACAUCAAGCAUAAACUGUGGGCUGUAUGCUUUUAAUGCUGGUGAGACUGUUGUUUUUGUUUCUACCGUAUGAGAAGGUAAAGCAGGGUAUAGUUGGAUGAAGAAUUGUAUCAAAGCAUAAAUGUAUCUGAAAGAGAAAACAGUUUUGUUAAUGUCACACAGUUUACCUGUUUUGAAAUUGUCUUACAUGACAUGAUGGCAUCUUAAUCUGUUUGAGAGGCUGCCUCUUAAGUUUGACAACUUCAUCAGUUAUCAGAACACGCAGUGAUGAUUGUAAAGAACUUGUCUGUUCGCUGUUUUCACCAUGUCUUACAAGUCAACAUGUAGUUAUGCAGUGAAACUACACUUCCAAUCCACAGCUUUGACCAAAAGUAUGCCCUGGACACACACAGAGAAAAAAGCCCCGGAGUCGGCCACCUGGUGACAACAGCUGCUCUGCCCGGGAGACCUUUCCUCUCCUCCCAGCAGUCUGCUGUUGUUCCUCAUAAUAGCCCGUGUGAAGUGUGGACAAUGAAGCACAGAGUCAUCUAGUGUCUAGAAGUUAGGUUCAACUUAAGGAAAUUAAGUAUGAACUUCUAACAUGCUAUAGUCUGCACACAAUAAAUGCAUGACAGUUCUUCAACUUCAACUUUUUUAUUUGUCCCCUGAAGGCAUUUAUUAUGCAGCAGUUACACAAACAUUCACGAUAAACAAACAACAAAAACAAUAAAAAAAAACAAUUUAAAAGAAACGUUUAAAAAAUACAGUAAAAACACAAUAAAAACAUUAAUAUAUCACGCAAAACCUAAGAUAGAUAAGGACAUUAGAAGCAAUUUAGGCCAUUUAGUGUAGUUCAGUGCAAACAGUCACGUAGUCAGCAGCAGCACGACAGAAUAAAGUAAACAAAAACAGGACAAAGUGCAGCAUAGGAUGUGAUUCAGGCUAAUUAAACAACUCAAAUCAGUCAAGCUUUGUCAGCUUAAGUACCUAGAACUAGCCGUGGCUGUGGGCGGCACAUUUCUGAGGAUUACAGCUGAAACACUGAAGGAUAAAAUGACCGUAAUUCACAAUUAAAGUAAAUGAAGUAUAAUUAAAAUAUGUUCAGAAUGAAAUAAUAAUGUAAAUUAUUUCACAAAAAAACAGUUUGAUAAGUAUUCAUCGUUCUCCUUUAUAAUCACAUGAAGUGCUGAAACCAGAAAAGGCUGUCAUUUCCUGAAGUGUGCACGUCAUGGCUGUCUUCCAGUCAUGUCGCCCAUCAGUGUGUUAAGUUUGUGUGGUAGUGGACUGACAAGUGACUCUCUCAAGAGGAUUUUUUGGGGUAAAUUAAGUCCUCUCUGACCUUAUUUUCUAUCAUCAUGUGACUGUUGACUCACAUCUGCUUUUUUAAACAUGUUGGUGAUGGUAAAAGCUCGUUUUUUUCGCCAUGUUAGCAGCCCUGCCCAAGCAAUGGCAACGCUGGCUGUCUGGUCAGUGACCUGGUUCAUCAGCCUGGACUUUGUCAGGACCACUGAUGUUCUGCCAGUGAAAUGUGGUUUUGAGUGAACUGUAUCUCUGAAUAGAUAACCACUGUAUUUGGUACACACAUCCAUAUGCCUGUUUAUAUACUCCAGAUUAUGCUUUUUUCUUCUGAGAACCGAAGAAGCCUGUUUGAUAAAUGCUGAAAAACCUUAAAGAACCACAA